rnacentral:tRNA from 1 species
GGGGCCUUAGCUCAGUUGGGAGAGCGCCGCCUUUGCAAGGCGGAAGUCAUCGGUUCGAACCCGAUAGGCUCCA